CCCCAUGUAAACAAAGCCUUCAAAUAGGUUUUUGUUACAGCUGUACUGCAUAGGUGGAAUUUGGGAUCCGUUUGCUUGUCAGUGGGGUAACUGACCAUGUCUCAGAGUCCAGGGUGAUCCCUUUCUUCUCUGCGCUGGAUGUUGUCCCUUCCCUCACUACAGUACUUACCCCAUUGGUCAUCAUAAAGCUCCCACACACAUGGAGCUCUACGGCAGUAUGCAGUGUAAUGUCCCAUAACAUCUUUGGUCAAGCUUCCCUUGAAA